rnacentral:rRNA from 1 species
UCCUCCUGGAAACGGGUGGUAAUGCCGGAUGCUCCGACUCCUCGCAUGGGGUGUCGGGAAAGAUUUCAUCGGUAUGGGAUGGGGUCGCGUCCUAUCAGGUAGUCGGCGGGGUAACGGCCCACCGAGCCUACGACGGGUAGCCGGCCUGAGAGGGCGACCGGCCACAUUGGGACUGAGAUACGGCCCAGACUCCUACGGGAGGCAGCAGUGGGGAAUAUUGCACAAUGGGCGCAAGCCUGAUGCAGCGACGCCGCGUGCGGGAUGACGGCCUUCGGGUUGUAAACCGCUUUUGAUCGGGAGCAAGCCUUCGGGUGAGUGUACCUUUCGAAUAAGCACCGGCUAACUACGUGCCAGCAGCCGCGGUAAUACGUAGGGUGCAAGCGUUAUCCGGAAUUAUUGGGCGUAAAGGGCUCGUAGGCGGUUCGUCGCGUCCGGUGUGAAAGUCCAUCGCUUAACGGUGGAUCUGCGCCGGGUACGGGCGGGCUGGAGUGCGGUAGGGGAGACUGGAAUUCCCGGUGUAACGGUGGAAUGUGUAGAUAUCGG